UUACUACUCCCUCCGUCCGGAAUUACUUGUCAUCAAAAUGGAUGAAAAUGGGUGUAUCUAUGAAAAUGGGUGUAUCUAGAACUAAAAUACAUCUAGAUACAUCCAUUUCAAUGACAAGUAUUUCCGUACGGAGGAAGUACAUU
rfam:Triticum aestivum genome assembly, contig: Triticum_aestivum_CS42_TGACv1_scaffold_130088_2BL